rnacentral:lncRNA from 1 species
AGAUAUUAUGGAUCCGGAUCAGCCGAGCAGUUCUUACAGGACCGCUUCUAGCGUACGGCGGAGGGCUUCUGAAGUGCCUUGUCCUCGUUCUGUCAGACAGUCUCAUCGGUUGGUGGAGGCCGUGAUACGUCCUGUCCAGGCAGAUGUGCUAGACGUUGAGGACGAGGAGGCGGAUAUUCUGAUGGAGGAUCCCGCUCGUGCUGCACAUGUCCCUCGCAGGGAGCUCCUGAGCAUUCAGGUGGCAAACCCAGAGUUGCUGGGUGAUUUGAGUAGACAUCCCUCGAUGUAUUUUCAUGCUAACGAGGUAUGGCGUUAGACUUUGAUCUUCCUUCUUUCCUAUUGAUGAGGAUUAAAGGGUUCUGAUAUUGAUCUGCAUUUCAUGCAGGUUCCAGGUUUUACACAGCCUCGAGGGAACUGGUUUAGCAUUCACUCAAUGUACUAGGUGCUUCUUCCUGACUAUAGAGCGGUAGUGCAUGAGUGGGGAUUCGGGGCAUUCUUCUCCAUCCUUCCCCGUCGUUAUCCCUGGGGUUACCUCAAGGCAUUG